AUGCCCAAGGAAGACGGGGCAACCUAGAAGUCCAACUACUUCCUUAAGAUCAUCCAACUUUUGGAUAAUUAUCGAAAAUGCUUCAUUGUGGGAGCAGACAAUGUGGGCUCCAAGCAUAUACAGCAGAUCCACAUGUCCCUUCAAGGGUGCUGUGGUACUGAUGGGCAAGCACCCCAUGAUGUGGAAGGCCAUCGAGGGCAUCUGGAAAACAACCCAGCUCUAGAGAAACUGUUGUCUCAUAUCCGGGGGAAUGUGGGCUUUGUGUUCACCAAGGAGGACCUCAUUGAGAUCAGGGACAUGCUGCUGGCUGCCGCUCAUCCUGGGGCCAUUGCCCCGUGUGAAGUCACUGUACCAGCCCAGAACACUGGUCUGGGGCCAGAGAAGACCUCCUUCCAGGCUUUAGGCAUCACCACUAACAUCUCCAGAGGUACCAUUGAUAUCGUGAGUGAUGUCAGCUGGUUAAGACUGGAGACAAAGUGGAAGCUAGUGAAGCCACACUGCUGAACAUCCUGAACAUCUCCCCCUUCUCCUUUGGGCUGGUCAUCAGCAGGUGUUUGACAAUGGCAGCAUGUACCACCCUGAAGUGCUUGACAUUACAGAGGAAACUCUGCAUUCUCACUUCCUGGGGGGUGUCCGCAAGGUUGCCAGCGUUUGCAGAUUGGUUACCCAAUUGUUGCAUCAGUACUGCAUUCUAUUAUCAGUGGGUACAAAUGAGUUCUGGCUUUGUCUGUGGAGACUGAUUACACCUUCCCGCUUGCUGAAAUGAUCAGGGCCUUGGGUGAUCCAUCUGCUUUUGUGGCUGCUGCCCCUGUGGUGGCUGCCGCUCCUGCUGCAGCCCUGCCCAAGGUUGAAGCCCAGGAAGACUUGGAGGAGUCGGACGAGGAUAUGGGAUUUGGUCUCUUUGAGUAAUCACCAAAAAGAACAAACUCAGCCAGCU